rnacentral:rRNA from 1 species
UACGAAGGGGGCUAGCGUUGCUCGGAAUCACUGGGCGUAAAGGGUGCGUAGGCGGGUCUUUAAGUCAGGGGUGAAAUCCUGGAGCUCAACUCCAGAACUGCCUUUGAUACUGAGGAUCUUGAGUAUGGGAGAGGUGAGUGGAACUGCGAGUGUAGAGGUGAAAUUCGUAGAUAUUCGCAAGAACACCAGUGGCGAAGGCGGCUCACUGGCCCAUUACUGACGCUGAGGCACGAAAGCGUGGGGAG